UUCAAUCUAUCAUAGAUUGUUUACAACUGGACAAGUUGUCGGCGCAGGCGAUGUCGUCGAUUGAAGGUGCUGGAUCGAGUUAUAGUCAUCAUCAACAUGAUUUCAAUCUGAGAAAAAAUAUAAUCUGAAAAAAUACAGAUCUGAGAUCCGAUGAGCAAUCGUAGUCACAACUGUCAACAUCCUCCGCUAUAAAUCUGCUUAAUUCGAUGGGUGAAUGUUCUAAAUAUGCACGAAUGUUCAAUCUAUCAUAAAUUGUUUACAACUGGACAAGUUGUCGGCACAGGAGACGUCGUCGAUAGAAGGUGCUGGAUCGAGUUAUAGUCAUCAUCAACAUGAUUUCAAUCUGAGAAAAAAUAUAAUCUGAACAAAUUACAGAUUUGAGGUAAAAUCGGUUACUCUUUUGCAGAUUUGAGGUGAAAUUGUUACUUUUGCAGAUAUGUAGCGAUGAUUUACUAUAUUCCUCUGGAUUUAAAAAAACAAAUAAUUAGUGAAUCUGAUUUUAUUGUAGAUCUGCAAACAGUUACCAUAAGCGUAGAUCUAGAUCUACAAUAGUUCCAUAA